rnacentral:rRNA from 1 species
GGAUGCGAUCAUACCAGCACUAAAGCACCGGAUCCCAUCAGAACUCCGAAGUUAAGCGUGCUUGCGCGAGAGUAGUACUAGGAUGGGUGACCUCCUAGGAAGUCCUCGUGUUGCAUUCC